rnacentral:rRNA from 1 species
CGGCGGACGGGUGAGUAACGCGUGGGCAACCUGCCUUCCACUGGGGGAUAACACAGAGAAACCUGUGCUAAUACCGCAUGACAUCACAUAGGGCAUCCUGUGUGAUCAAAGGAGUGAUCCGGUGGAAGAUGGGCCCGCGUCCGAUUAGCUAGUUGGUGAGGUAACGGCUCACCAAGGCGACGAUCGGUAGCCGGACUGAGAGGUUGGCCGGCCACAUUGGGACUGAGACACGGCCCAGACUCCUACGGGAGGCAGCAGUGGGGAAUAUUGCGCAAUGGGGGGAACCCUGACGCAGCGACGCCGCGUGAAGGAAGAAGGCCUUCGGGUUGUAAACUUCUUUGAUGAGGGACGAAGGAAGUGACGGUACCUCAAAAACAAGCCACGGCUAACUACGUGCCAGCAGCCGCGGUAAUACGUAGGUGGCGAGCGUUGUCCGGAAUUACUGGGUGUA